CGCCUAAACUUUACAGCUUUGUAAGGCAUUGGUGGCAAAAUCCUGAGCAACAAACGAGGUCUCUCGACUGGCACUUGUUGCUCAGGUCUGAGUCAGAAAUGGCUCAGGGUAGCCGAAAGGUUAUC
rnacentral:sRNA from 1 species